rnacentral:rRNA from 1 species
UGAGGAAUAUUGGUCAAUGGACGAGAGUCUGAACCAGCCAAGUAGCGUGCAGGAUGACGGCCCUAUGGGUUGUAAACUGCUUUUGUUUGGGAAUAAUCGACAUUACGUGUAAUGUUUUGCAUGUACCAUUCGAAUAAGGACCGGCUAAUUCCGUGCCAGCCGCCGCGGUAAUACGGAAGGUCCAGGCGUUAUCCGGAAUUAUUGGGUUUAAAGGGAGUGUAGGCGGUUGGUUAAGCGUGUUGUGAAAUGUAGAUGCUCAACAUCUGACUUGCAGCGCGAACUGGCUGACUUGAAUACACACAACGUAGGCGGAAUUCAUGGUGUAGCGAUGAAAUGCUUAGAUAUCAUGAAGAACUCCGAUUGCGAAGGCAGCUUACGGGGGUGUUACUGACGCUUAAGCUCGAAGGUGCGGGUAUCGAACAGG